UUCCGACCUGCACGAAUGGCGUAACGAUGGCCACACUGUCUCCACCCGAGACUCAGUGAAAUUGAAAUCGCUGUGAAGAUGCAGUGUACCCGCGGCUAGACGGAAAGACCCCGUGAACCUUUACUAUAGCUUUGCACUGGACUUUGAAUAUGUUUGUGUAGGAUAGGUGGGAGGCUUUGAAGCGGCAACGCCAGUUGUCGUGGAGCCAUCCUUGAAAUACCACCCUGGCAUGUUUGAGGUUCUAACCUAGGCCCGUUAUCCGGGUCGGGGACAGUGUAUGGUGGGUAGUUUGACUGGGGCGGUCUCCUCCUAAAGAGUAACGGAGGAGCGCGAAGGUACCCUCAGCACGGUCGGACAUCGUGCAAUGAGCGCAAAGGUAUAAGGGUGCUUGACUGCGAGACAGACAUGUCGAGCAGGAACGAAAGUUGGUCUUAGUGAUCCGGUGGCACUUCGUGGAAGGGCCAUCGCUCAACGGAUAAAAGGUACUCCGGGGAUAACAGGCUGAUUCCUCCCAAGAGUUCAUAUCGACGGGGGAGUUUGGCACCUCGAUGUCGGCUCAUCACAUCCUGGGGCUGUAGUCGGUCCCAAGGGUAUGGCUGUUCGCCAUUUAAAGUGGUACGCGAGCUGGGUUUAGAACGUCGUGAGACAGUUCGGUCCCUAUCUGCCGUGGGCGUUUGAGAUUUGAGUGGAGCUGCUCCUAGUACGAGAGGACCGGAGUGGACGUAUCUCUGGUGUUCCGGUUGUCACGCCAGUGGCACUGCCGGGUAGCUAAAUACGGACGGGAUAACCGCUGAAAGCAUCUAAGCGGGAAGCCCCCCACAAGAUUAGAUCUCACUAGAGCUUUUAGCUCUCUUAAGGGCCGUCGGAGACUACGACGUUGAUAGGCUGGGUGUGGAAGUUCAGUAAUGGAUGAAGCUAACCAGUACUAAUUGCCCGUGAGGCUUGAUCAU
rnacentral:rRNA from 1 species